UGGUUGUCCUGGAGUCAAGCUGUACCCACCGCCUCAGCCUCCUGAGUAGCUGCGACUGGAAGCACAAAUCAUUGCGUCUGGCAUUCUUGAAAUUUUUCAUAGAGAAAUAUGCUCUGACAGUGAUAUACUAGAGACAUAAGUGCAUUUAUAAUGGUGUAAGAUUCAUUAAGUAGAUACUUCGCGUUUUUGGUUUUAAAUCAAUACUGACAGUUCCCUAACUUGUCUCCCAAUGCUUUGUGUUUCUUUUUUUUCCAUGUUAAUUUUAGUAUGGUUUCAACAUGGUCAUGUCUCAUCCACACGCUGUCAAUGAGAUUGCACUAAGCUUGAACAACAAGAAUCCCAGAACAAAAGCCCUUGUCUUAGAACUGUUGGCAGCCGUUUGUCUUGUCAGAGGCGGGCAUGAAAUCAUUUUAUCAGCAUUUGAUAACUUUAAAGAGGUUUGCGGAGAAAAACAGCGCUUUGAGAAGUUGAUGGAACAUUUCAGGAAUGAAGACAAUAACAUAGAUUUUAUGGUGAGUUAUUUCAGUAUUCAAUAAAGCAAACUCAAUUUCAAUACGUUUUUUCUAAAUAGACAUACACACACACACACACGUAUUUAUAUUACAAAGGACAGGGAAUUGCAAUUAAUAUGCUAUAGAUCCAAUCUAGAAUGUCCCUCUUAAUCUGUAUUUUCUCUUUGAUUUCCAUUUUAUUCCUUACAUACACGGUAUAGUAAAGACAAAAGUACUAAUCAUAGCAA
rnacentral:sRNA from 1 species